GCCUACGGGAGGCAGCAGUGGGGGAUAUUGCACAAUGGGGGGAACCCUGAUGCAGCGACGCCGCGUGGGUGAAGAAGUCAUUCGUGACGUAAAGCCCUAUCAGCAGGGAAGAAAAUGACGGUACCUGACUAAGAAGCCCCGGCUAACUACGUGCCAGCAGCCGCGGUAAUACGUAGGGGGCAAGCGUUAUCCGGAUUUACUGGGUGUAAAGGGAGCGUAGACGGCGAUGCAAGUCUGAAGUGAAAGGCGGGGGCCCAACCCCCGGACUGCUUUGGAAACUGUAUGGCUGGAGUGCAGGAGAGGUA
rnacentral:rRNA from 1 species